rnacentral:lncRNA from 1 species
AUAAUUUUCAUUUUUAUUCAUUACUCUUUUAUUUAUGUUUUAUUAUUCUUUAAAACAUUUUUAGUUUGUAAUUUAAUUCAAUAAUUUUUUAUUGUUUUAAAUAUAUAAUUAUUUUCUUGUGAUUACUGCUUAAAUGUUUUCCAUAGAUUCUGAUAUGUAUGCAGUGUUUUCUUUAUUAUUGUAUUUUAAAAUUAUGAAAUUUUGAUUGGGGGACCAGACACUGGAGUACAGGAACUUGGGGAAGAGAAGGAAGGAGAUGGAUCCCCAAGACUCAGGAAAGUAUUGAAGGGAGAAUUGGAGCCCAAAGGCAGAUGAAGGUGACAGAUCUCAAUGAACAAGAGUGUGGUUGCAAACUGUGCUUUCUCCCUGAUCUGUGGCUAAUUGGAAAACUGCAUUCUCCCUGACUACUAGGUCAUGGCAUGAGCGAAGAGGCUUGGGCCUACAGAGGUGUGAUGAUGGUGGGGGACCCUGGCAGCUUCCACAGAGAAACACACCAGUUGAGUGGAGCAGGAGAUGCUGUGGGCUGCAGCAGCUGGUCAUGGGGAGAAACAAGCUGACUUGUGGUGAGGACAUUUAGAUAGCCUCAUGGAAAGUCCCACCUGGGAAGGAAGAGAAACCUCCAACACCCAUGUAAAUGAGCCAUUCUGCAAGCACAUCCCCAAGACCCAAUCAAGCCUUCAGAUGACUACAGCCCAGCUACAGCUUGACUUCAACUUUAUGAGAGACUCUCAGUUACCAAGAGAAUUCUCCUGGGAAGGAUGAUGUCAUGUCAGCUCAAGAAACAAGAGCAUGUUGGAAGCAGCACUGGGAAAUUGAUCAAGACUAUAUUCUCUUCUAUUGCAAGGCACAUUUAUUGGAUAUUCGCACUCUCUGCUGGUGAAGACUGACCUGCAUUGUUUGCAUCGAUGAACUCUUCUUAGAAUAUGUAUGGCCAUGGUGAGACUCGAAGGCAGGAGGAGAAUUUGUGCUUCUGGCCUUCUCCCUGGGGGGCCUUGAGCUGGCUGUGUCCGUGCUCUCUCAGGCAGAUUCUCCACACAUCUCGCUCUGGCUUCUAAACCACUGCCUCCCUUUGCCUUCUCA